UUAUUCAAGUCCUCGGUCUGUUAGUACAUCUCAGCUGAAUACAUUGCUGCACUUACACUUGAUGCCUAUCAACGGGUAGUCUUCCCGUGACCUUACUUGUUUUCACAAUGAGAAUACUCAUCUUGAGGUGGGCUUCCCACUUAGAUGCUUUCAGUGGUUAUCCUUUCCGUACAUAGCUACCCAGCGUUUACCAUUGGCAUGAUAACUGGUACACUAGCGGUACGUCCUUCUCGGUCCUCUCGUACUAAAGAAAGAUCCUCUCAAUAUUCUAACGCCUACACCGGAUAUGGACCGAACUGUCUCACGACGUUCUGAACCCAGCUCGCGUGCCGCUUUUAUGGGCGAACAGCCCAACCCUUGGGACGUACUACCGCCCCAGGAUGCGACGAGCCGACAUCGAGGUGCCAAACCUCCCCGUCGAUGUGAACUCUUGGGGGAGAUCAGCCUGUUAUCCCUAGAGUAACUUUUAUCCGUUGAGUGGCGGCUUUUCCACGUAAUACCGCCAGAUCACUAAGACCGACUUUCGUCUCUGCUCGACUUGUAGGUCUCGCAGUUAAGCUUCCAUAUGCCUUUACGCUCUACAAUCGAUGUCUGACCGAUUUGAGGAAACCUUUGUACGCCUCCGUUACCUUUUAGGAGGCGACCGCCCCAGUCAAACUGCCCGCCUGAGACUGUCUUUUAACCAGAUAAUGGUGUAAAGUUAGAUUUCUAGUUUUACAAGAGUGGUAUCUCACUGAUGGCUCCAAAACACCCACAAGUAUUUUUUCAUAGCCUCCCACCUAUUCUGCGCAAAUAAAACCCGAAACCAAUCUCAAGUUACAGUAAAGCUUCAUAGGGUCUUUCUGUCCAGGUGCAGGUAGUCCGCAUCUUCACAGACAAGUCUAUUUCGCCGAGUCCCUCUCCGAGACAGUGUCCAAAUCGUUACGCCUUUCGUGCGGGUCGGAACUUACCCGACAAGGAAUUUCGCUACCUUAGGACCGUUAUAGUUACGGCCGCCGUUCACCGGGGCUUCAGUCACUAGCUUCGCUACUGCUAACCAGCUUCUUUAACCUUCCGGCACUGGGCAGGCGUCAGCCCCCAUACAUUGUCUUUCGACUUCGCGGAGACCUGUGUUUUUGAUAAACAGUCGCUUGGACCUUGUUAUUGCAACCCAUAGGGUACCCCUUCUCCCAAAGUUACGGGGUUAUUUUGCCGAGUUCCUUAGAGAGAGUUAUCUCGCGCCCCUUAGUAUACUCUACCUACCUACCUGUGUCGGUUUAGGGUACAGGCGUUUUCUAUUUAUGACAGUGCAAGCUUUUCUUGGAAGCAUGACAUCAACUACUUCAAUACUAAGUAUCUCCCCAUCACAUCUCAGCUCAAAAUAUUUUCACUAUUUCUCAUAACCUUGAAUGCUUGGACCAGUGACCACUAUCUGGAUAAGUUUAGCCUUCUUCGUCCCUCGUUGCCAAUAAAAAACGGUAUAGGAAUAUUAACCUAUUGUCCAUCGACUACGUCUUUCGACCUCGCCUUAGGUCCUGACUCACCCCCCGCGGACGAGCCUUCCGGGGGAAACCUUAGGUUUUCGGGGCAUUGGAUUCUCACCAAUGUUUUCGCUACUCAAGCCGACAUUCUCACUUCUGCUUCGUCCACACCCACUUACGUUAAUGCUUCAACCUACAACAGAACGCUCCCCUACCGAUAUUUACUUGUAAUAAAUAUCUCACAGCUUCGGCAAAUUAUUUAAGUCCCGUUCAUUUUCGGCGCAGGAUUACUAGACCAGUGAGCUAUUACGCACUCUUUAAAGGAUUGCUGCUUCUAAGCAAACCUUCUGGCUGUCUGAGUCUUCCCACCUCCUUUACCACUUAAUAAUUAUUUAGGGGCCUUAACUGGUGAUCUGGGCUGUUUCCCUCUUGACUAUGAAGCUUAUCCCCCACAGUCUUACUGGUUAACUGUUCACUUAGUAUUCAGAGUUUGCCUCGAUUUGGUACCGAAUUACCAGCCCGCACCGAAACAGUGCUUUACCUCUAAGCUAUAAUAUUAACCGCUGCGCCUAAACACAUUUCGGGGAGAACCAGCUAGCUCCGAAUUCGAUUGGUAUUUCACCCCUAACCACAACUCAUCCGCUGAUUUUUCAACAUCAGUCGGUUCGGACCUCCACAUAGUAUUACCUAGGCUUCAUCCUGGCCAUGGUUAGAUCAUCCGGGUUCGGGUCUAUAACUAGUGACACACGCUCUAUUAAAGCUCGCUUUCACUGUGGCUCCAGUAUUCUCUACCUUAACCUGCCACUAACUAUAAGUCGCCGGCUCAUUCUUCAACAGGCACGCAGUCAAACGAUAAGUCGUCCUCCUACUGCUUGUAAGCUUAAGGUUUCAUGUUCUAUUUCACUCCCCUCCCGGGGUUCUUUUCACCUUUCCCUCACGGUACUAGUUCACUAUCGGUCAUUCAGGAAUAUUUAGCCUUACGAGGUGGUCCUCGCAGAUUCACACGAGAUUCCACGUGCCUCAUGCUACUUGGGAAAAAACUUAAGAGAAAACAGAGCUUUCGGUUACAAGACUAUCACUUUCUUCGGUUAAACUUUCCAGUUUAUUCUCCUAGCUGUUUUUUAUCUUUAUUUACUGUUUAGUCCCACUACCCUUUUCAUUAUUUAUUUAUUAUUUUGAAAAGUUUAGGCUGUUCCCAUUUCGCUCGCCGCUACUAAGAGAAUCGUUUUUACUUUCUAUUCCUCUGGUUACUAAGAUGUUUCAAUUCUCCAGGUUCGCUCUUUCUUGCCUAUAGAUUCAACAAGAAGUUUUAAAGAGUUGCCUCAUUCGGAUACCCCCGGAUCAAAGCUUGUUUCCAACUCCCCGAGGCGUUUCGCCGGUAACCACGUCCUUCUUCGCUUCUGAAUGCCAAGGUAUUCACCUUAAGCCCUUAUUUCCUUGAA
rnacentral:rRNA from 1 species